rnacentral:rRNA from 1 species
CUACGUGCCAGCAGCCGCGGUAAUACGGAGGAUGCGAGCGUUAUCCGGAUUUAUUGGGUUUAAAGGGUGCGUAGGCGGCCUGUUAAGUCAGCGGUGAAAUCUAGGAGCUUAACUCCUAAAUUGCCAUUGAUACUGGCGGGCUUGAGUGUAGAUGGGGUAGGCGGAAUGCGUGGUGUAGCGGUGGAAUGCAUAGAUAUCACGCAGAACUCCGAUUGCGAAGGCAGCUUACUAAGGUACAACUGACGCUGAAGCACGAAAGCGUGGGUAUCAAACAGGAUUAGAUACCCUGGUAGUCCACGCAGUAAACGAUGAUAACUGGGCGUAUGCGGUAUACAGUAUGCUCCUAAGCGAAAGCGUUAAGUUAUCCACCUGGGGAGUACGCCGGCAACGGUGAAACUCAAAGGAAUUGACGGGGGCCCGCACAAGCGGAGGAACAUGUGGUUUAAUUCGAUGAUACGCGAGGAACCUUACCCGGGAUUGAA